UUGUUCCCGUAUGCUAGAGAACAGGAC
rnacentral:piRNA from 1 species